UAUAAAAUAUGUUCAUAUUUUGUUAUCAGCUCUGCAAAGAAAUGAACUGGAGACAUUACAACUGCUGUAGCCCGUUUUGCUGUAGGUCUGUAUUUAUCCACUUUCAACAAUGUCAUCCUACUUGAUGUAGAAUCACCUCCUCUUGAAUAGCUUCCUUUGCUCUGCAAAGAAAUGAACUGGAGACAUUACAACUGCUGUAGCCUGGUUUGCUGUAGGCUUUCAUUUAUCAACUUUCAACAAUGUUAUCCUACUUGAUACAGAAUCACCUCCUCUUGAACAGCUUCCUUUGAACAUUUAAAUACAAAGAUGUAUUUCCUUUGUGUUUUACUACAAGCUCGCAUAAAUACGUACACAAAUAUAUAAAGUUACCAUGUACAGAGUAAUGUAUACAUAUAAAACAUUAAAU